rnacentral:rRNA from 1 species
GACGUAGGGGCCGAGCGUUGUCCGGAUUUAUUGGGCGUAAAGAGCUCGUAGGCGGCUUGUCGCGUCGAAUGUGAAAACUCGGGGCUCAACUCCGAGCUUGCAUUCGAUACGGGCAGGCUAGAGUUCGGUAGGGGAGACUGGAAUUCCUGGUGUAGCGGUGAAAUGCGCAGAUAUCAGGAGGAACACCGGUGGCGAAGGCGGGUCUCUGGGCCGAUACUGACGCUGAGGAGCGAAAGCGUGGGGGAGCGAACAGG